GAAAUAUGAUAAAAUAAUUCAUUCGGACUCCCGGCUUCGAACAUCUGGGGCGAACAGGAACUUCGUCGUGAAAUCCUAGUCAGUUGAGCUUCAAACCGCAGCUGGUGGAGACGCACGUGCCCGGCCAGCCAUCACUUCACCCUCUUAACGGAGCCCCAUGGGAAUUGCUGAAGUACCGAAGGAUGUGAUUUACCAGACAUUCAAUCCACGCACUGAAAAUUACGGAUGAUGAUUAUUGGAAGCUGCAGUCUCGUCUAUAAAAGAGGGUUGAACGUCCUUCCAUGUGAGAGGAGCCAGAGGGGAUGACGAAACACCCCGCCCAUUCUUCAUGGAGCCGACGAGCAUGGAUGGGCGUCCUCAGUGUAUGCCGGUUUUUCACAAAGGACGCGGGGCCACACCUCCUGACGGCUGAAGAACGCAGAACGCAUCGCCUCCCACGACCCCAGGCACGCACACAUCUGCCGUGGCUGUGUGAGGGAAGUGCUCUUGGACGGGCUGGAGGUUGCAGAGUUCCAAGGAUGAACUGCCGAGACUUUGCUUCGCCCGGCAAAUAUAGUUCCUGGCAACCUUCGUUAUCGGGUCCACUACAUCUGGAGACCAAGUGCCCUCGUCACCCUGCUCCUGCCCGGCGUAACUCUUGCCGUCUGGGUUCCCACCUUUGAGAGGAGAAGAAAAGAAAUGCUUCAUUGUAAAACGUGAUUAAGACCUCCAUAAAGAUUACAAAAUGUA